rnacentral:rRNA from 1 species
GAACCUUACCAGCCCUUGACAUCCCGGUCGCGGGAACGAGAGAUCGAUCCCUUCAGUUCGGCUGGACCGGAGACAGGUGCUGCAUGGCUGUCGUCAGCUCGCGUCGUGAGAUGUUGGGUUAAGUCCCGCAACGAGCGCAACCCUCGCCCUUAGUUGCCAUCAUUCAGUUGGGCACUCUAAGGGGACUGCCGGUGAUAAGCCGCGAGGAAGGUGGGGAUGACGUCAAGUCCUCAUGGCCCUUACGGGCUGGGCUACACACGUGCUACAAUGGCGGUGACAGUGGGAUGCAAUGGGGCAACCCUGCGCAAAUCUCAAAAAGCCGUCUCAGUUCGGAUAGGGCUCUGCAACUCGAGCCCAUGAAGCUGGAAUCGCUAGUAAUCGCAGAUCAGCACGCUGCGGUGAAUACGUUCCCGGGCCUUGUCACACCGA